rnacentral:rRNA from 1 species
GUAAGGAAUAUUGGACAAUGGACGCAAGUCUGAUCCAGCCAUGCCGCGUGAAGGAUUAAGGUCCUCUGGAUUGUAAACUUCUUUUAUAAGGGACGAAAAAAGGCUUUUCUAAUGCGUCUGACGGUACCUUAUGAAUAAGCACCGGCUAACUCCGUGCCAGCAGCCGCGGUAAUACGGAGGGUGCAAGCGUUAUCCGGAUUCACUGGGUUUAAAGGGUGCGUAGGCGGGCAGGUAAGUCAGUGGUGAAAUCCUAGAGCUUAACUCUAGAACUGCCAUUGAUACUAUCUGUCUUGAAUAUUGUAGAAGUAAGCGGAAUAUGUCAUGUAGCGGUGAAAUGCUUUGAUAUGACAUAGAACAACUAUUUCGAUGGCAGCUUACUACGAAUGUAUUAACGCUGAGGCACGAAAGCGUGGGGAUCAAACAGGAUUAGAUACCCGUGUAGUCC